GAUGAAGAACGCAGCGAAAUGCGAUAAGUAAUGUGAAUUGCAGAAUUCCGUGAAUCAUCGAAUCUUUGAACGCACAUUGCGCCCCCUGGCAUUCCGGGGGGCAUGCCUGUCCGAGCGUCAUUUCUGCCCUCCAGCCCGGCUGGGUGUUGGGCGCUGUCCCCCCGGGGACACGCCCCAAAGGCAGUGGCGGCGCCGCGUCGGGUCCUCGAGCGUAUGGGGCUUUGUCACCCGCUCGGGACGGACUCGUCGGCGCUGGUCUUCCUCCAGGCGACCCUUCGGGGCUCGUCUUCCUUCGGUUGACCUCGGAUCAGGUAGGGUUACCCGCUGAACUUAAGCAUAUCAAUAAGCGGAAGA
rnacentral:misc_RNA from 1 species